GCGCCGGUAGUGUAGGGGUAUCAUGUAAGCCUCCCACGCUUGCGACCCGGGUUCGAAUCCCGGUCGGCGCA
rfam:Schistocephalus solidus strain NST_G2 genome assembly, scaffold: SSLN_scaffold0000049